rnacentral:rRNA from 1 species
AUGAAGAGGUACAUGGAGCUGUGCGUGGAUCUGAGGAAAGGCAGAUUCGCCAAGGACGGCCUCAUUCAGUACUCCAGAAUCGUCUGCCAGCAGGAACUCAACAAUGUGUCGACUCUGGAGGAUGUUGUCAAACACUUCAUGCAUCUGUCCAACAAGAAAGCUGGGGAGGCGGCCAUGAAUCACCAGGCACAGGCUCUCAAUGUCCAUGAUCUGGAAGCACCAGAGGACCUAAUGCUCAGUUACGUCAGCGGGAAGGGCCGAUCUGACACUCCAUGGCUCAAGUUUCUGUGGGACACAUACAUGACGGCGCUGGAGGUGUUGAGGAACAACUCCAAGCUUCAAGCGUUGUAUGCCAUGGCUGCGCACAAUGCCUUUUAG